GAUGCUUAACCCACUGAGCGAGGGCAGGGAUUGAACCCACAUCCUCAUGGAUGCUAGUCGGGUCAGGUAACCACUGAGCUAGGACAGGAACCCCCUGAGUUUGCAUGUCAGUCCAUUUUGCAGAAAUGGACAAUUAUGCUGCUUUUUUUCAGGGCAGCUUUCUUCCCCAUGUCACAAAGCUGUCAGUCUCAAAUCGUGUAUUUGGCUUUGGGGCAAAAAUGACUAAAACUGGCUUCUUUUGUCAGGGGCACGGUCUGAAUCUGCUCAGGGCAAGAUGAUGAGUGGGGUCGGGGGCUUCGUCCUGGGUCUGCUCUUUGUUGCUGUGGGGCUGUUCAUCUACUUCAAGAAUCAGAAAGGUGAGGAGCCUGUUGUCAGCCGAGAUGCCCCACGGCCUUUAUGGAGGAAGAAAUAUGGCUUUGCUCGAUUCGUUCUCUCUCUGUCACUCUUCUGGCCUAAGGCCUUUAUUUCCCCAGUUUACUUCGGUUUCUUGGAAAUCCAGAAAUCGAUGGUCAUGGUGACUUGUGGGUGAAGCACAGAGGGGAUGCCGGCCUGUAGAGAUAAGACACGUGUUAACCUGAGUGGCGAUUUUGGGUGGAGAUUCUGGGGAAAUGCAGGAGGAGGGAGUUCGGCUGAUGAAAUUACCCUGGAUUUGUGUGAGAAAACCUUCUUAGGUCCCAUGCUCUUAGUGUCUGCUGUCCCGUCUAUCCUGACAUCAGGUGCUGUGGGUUGUGGUUUAGAGAAAUCUCAGUGGCGUGUCAGGGGCUGGGGACACUGUGUUUUGGGGACAGAUUUACCUCCUUAGCUUCUAAGUGUAUGUCUUCUCUGUUCUUUCCCAGGACGCCCUGCCCUUCAGCCAACAGGCCUCCUGAGCUGAAGUGCAGGUGGUGACACUCCAAGCAAGCAUCCUCUGUGCCAGCGUCUUCACAGCAUGAGAAGGCUCCUGCUAUGCUCUGCGUCCUCCCCCAGGAGAGCUCUUCCUCAGACUCUCCUUUGCUCCUGGUUCAGGGACCCUGCAGAAAAGGUCUUUUGAUGGCUUUCUCAGCCUCCCCCCUUUGACCUGGAAGUUCCUUGUGUUGAGGGCUGUACCUGGUUGGUCUCUGUUGUUUUUUUCCUGGUUGGUCCCUGUUGUUUUCGACGUUACUGCCUCCUGUGCAUCUGAACUCAUCCACUGUCCAUAUUACCUUAUUAUGUUUUUCUCCAAUAAAUAUGGAGUGACAA
ensembl:lncRNA